rnacentral:rRNA from 1 species
GACGAACGCUGGCGGCGUGCUUAACACAUGCAAGUCGAACGGAAAGGCCCUGCAGUUGUGGGGUGCUCGAGUGGCGAACGGGUGAGUAACACGUGAGUAACCUGCCCUUGACUUUGGGAUAACUUCAGGAAACUGGGGCUAAUACCGGAUAGGAGCUCCUGCUGCAUGGUGGGGGUUGGAAAGUUUCGGCGGUUGGGGAUGGACUCGCGGCUUAUCAGCUUGUUGGUGGGGUAGUGGCUUACCAAGGCUUUGACGGGUAGCCGGCCUGGGAGGGUGACCGGCCACAUUGGGACUGAGGUACGGCCCAGACUGCUACGGGAGGCAGCAGUGGGAAAUAUUGCACAAUGGGCGGAAGCCUGAUGCAGCAACGCCGCGUGCUGGAUGACGGCCUUCGGGUUGUAAACCGCUUUCGCCUGUGACGAAGCGUGAGUGACGGUAAUGGGUAAAGAAGCACCGGCUAACUACGUG